rnacentral:rRNA from 1 species
UUUGUGGUCGGUGUACAGGUGGUGCAUGGUUGUCGUCAGCUCGUGUCGUGAGAUGUUGGGUUAAGUCCCGCAACGAGCGCAACCCUCGUCCUAUGUUGCCAGCGGGUCAUGCCGGGGACUCAUGGGAGACUGCCGGGGUCAACUCGGAGGAAGGUGGGGAUGACGUCAAAUCAUCAUGCCCCUUAUGUCUUGGGCUUCACGCAUGCUACAAUGGCCGGUACAAAGGGCUGCGAUACCGCGAGGUGGAGCGAAUCCCAGAAAGCCGGUCUCAGUUCGGAUUGGGGUCUGCAACUCGACCCCAUGAAGUCGGAGUCGCUAGUAAUCGCAGAUCAGCAACGCUGCGGUGAAUACGUUCCCGGGCCUU